rnacentral:rRNA from 1 species
GAUGAACGCUGGCGGCGUGCCUAAUACAUGCAAGUCGAGCGAACGGACGAGAAGCUUGCUUUUCUGAUGUUAGCGGCGGACGGGUGAGUAACACGUGGAUAACCUACCUAUAAGGCUGGGAUAACUUCGGGAAACCGGAGCUAAUACCGGAUAAUAUUUUGAACCGCAUGGUUCAAAAGUGAAAGGCGGUCUUGCUGUCACUUAUAGAUGGAUCCGCGCUGCAUUAGCUAGUUGGUAAGGUAACGGCUUACCAAGGCAACGAUGCAUAGCCGACCUGAGAGGGUGAUCGGCCACACUGGAACUGAGACACGGUCCAGACUCCUACGGGAGGCAGCAGUAGGGAAUCUUCCGCAAUGGGCGAAAGCCUGACGGAGCAACGCCGCGUGAGUGAUGAAGGUCUUCGGAUCGUAAAACUCUGUUAUUAGGGAAGAACAUAUGUGUAAGUAACUGUGCACAUCUUGACGGUACCUAAUCAGAAAGCCACGGCUAACUACGUG